AGAGUUUGAUCCUGGCUCAGGACGAACGCUGGCGGCGUGCUUAACACAUGCAAGUCGAACGGUGAUGAGGAGCUUGCUUCUCUGAUCAGUGGCGAACGGGUGAGUAACACGUGAGCAAUCUGCCCUUGACUCUGGGAUAAGCGUUGGAAACGACGUCUAAUACCGGAUACGACCCUUGGAGGCAUCUCUGGGGGUGGAAAGAAUUUUGGUCAAGGAUGAGCUCGCGGCCUAUCAGCUAGUUGGUGAGGUAAUGGCUCACCAAGGCGACGACGGGUAGCCGGCCUGAGAGGGUGACCGGCCACACUGGGACUGAGACACGGCCCAGACUCCUACGGGAGGCAGCAGUGGGGAAUAUUGCACAAUGGGCGAAAGCCUGAUGCAGCAACGCCGCGUGAGGGACGACGGCCUUCGGGUUGUAAACCUCUUUUAGUAGGGAAGAAGCGUAAAAGUGACGGUACCUGCAGAAAAAGCACCGGCUAACUACGUGCCAGCAGCCGCGGUAAUAC
rnacentral:rRNA from 1 species